rnacentral:rRNA from 1 species
AACGAACGCUGGCGGCAUGCCUAACACAUGCAAGUCGAACGAGCCCUUCGGGGUUAGUGGCGCACGGGUGCGUAACGCGUGGGAAUCUGCCCUUGGGUUCGGAAUAACAGUUAGAAAUGACUGCUAAUACCGGAUGAUGUCUUCGGACCAAAGAUUUAUCGCCCAAGGAUGAGCCCGCGUAGGAUUAGGUAGUUGGUGGGGUAAUGGCCCACCAAGCCGACGAUCCUUAGCUGGUCUGAGAGGAUGAUCAGCCACACUGGGACUGAGACACGGCCCAGACUCCUACGGGAGGCAGCAGUGGGGAAUAUUGGACAAUGGGCGAAAGCCUGAUCCAGCAAUGCCGCGUGAGUGAUGAAGGCCUUAGGGUUGUAAAGCUCUUUUACCAGGGAUGAUAAUGACAGUACCUGGAGAAUAAGCUCCGGCUAACUCCGUGCCAGCCGCCGCGGUAA